rnacentral:rRNA from 1 species
AUUCCGGUUGAUCCUGCCGGAGACCACUGCUAUCAGAGUCCGACUAAGCCAUGCAAAGCUAUUGGUACACACGAAGGUAAAAACUUCAUGUGUACCAAGCUGUACUGCUGAGUAACACGUAGCUAAUCUAUCCUAGGGAUGGGAAUAAUCUCGGGAAACUGAGAAUAAUUCCCAAUAUGCGAGAGAGGCUGGAAUGCACUCUCGCUGAAAGGAUGUAAGCUAAACUUACAUCGCCCUAGGGUGAGGCUGCGGCGGAUUAGGUUGUUGUUUGGAUAAAAACCAAACAAGCCUAUAAUCCGUAGGGGUCUUGAGAGAGAUAGCCCCCAGAUGGACUCUGAGACAUGAGUCCAGGCUCUACGGAGCGCAGCAGGCGCGAAACCUUCGCAAUGCCUGAAAGGGCGACGAGGGGACUCUGAGUGCUCUCUACUCUGUAGAGAGCUUUUGUCGAGUGUAAAAAGCUCGACGAAUAAGGGGUGGGCAAGACGGUUGCCAGCCGCCGCGGUAAUAACCGCGCCCCGAGUGGUGGUCACGUUUAUUGGGCCUAAAGCAUCCGUAGCCGGUUCUGUGUGUCUUCAGUGAAAUUCUCUUGUAAACAAGAGAACUUGCUGAAGAUACUGCAGAACUUUGGGAUAGGAAGAGGUCGAGGGUACUCUCGAGGUAGGGGUUAAAUCCGUUAAUCUCGAGGGGACCACCUGUGGCGAAGGCGCUCGACCAGAACUAAUCCGACGGUCAUGGAUGAAAGCUAGGGGAGCGAUCGGGAUUAGAUACCCCGGUAGUCCUAGCCGUAAACGAUGCCCACUUGCUGUUGCAAAGCUCUUGGGGCUUUGCAGCGGCGGAGCGAAGGCGUUAAGUGGGCCGCCUGGGGAGUACGGCCGCAAGGCUGAAACUUAAAGGAAUUGGCGGGGGAGCACUACAAGGGGUGGAGGCUACGGUUCAAUUGGAUGCAACGCCGGGAACCUCACCAGGGAAGACAGCAGGAUGAAGGUCAGCCUAAAGGGCUUACCUGACAAGCUGAGAGGUGCUGCAUGGCCGUCGUCAGCUCGUGCCAUGAGGUGUCCUGUUAAGUCAGGAAACGAGCGAGACCCACGCCCAUAGUUGCUACUUCUUUUAGAGAGAAGGCACUCUAUGGGGACUGCCCGCGUUAAAGUGGGAGGAAGGUGUGGGCGACGACAGGUCAGUAUGGCCCGAAAUCCCUGGGCUACACGUGGCCUACAAUGCGCGGAACAACGGGACGCAACUCCGUAAGGAGAAGCCAAUCCCUUAAAUCCGCGUCCAGUUCAGAUCGAGGGCUGCAACUCGCCCUCGUGAAGCCGGAAUCCCUAGUAAGCGGGGGUCAUCAAAAUCACAUUCAGCUAAAAAAUUAUAGAUAAAAUAUCUGAAAGUGAUUGUGAAAUCUCUCGCUGAAUAUGUCCCUGCUCCUUGCACACACCGCCCGUCAAGCCAACCGAUCGAAGAUUCAACGAGGGCUACUUGGCAUCGUCUUGUAAGUAUUCCUUAUAAGAUGAUGCCAGGUUAGUUCAAGUUGAAUCUUUGCUAAGGGGGGCUAAGUCGUAAAGUGAUGAGAUGGGCGGUUUGAUUUACCGAGAAUGAAGAUAUAUCUUGGCUUGACUCUAACUCGGUAAAGAUGAAAUAAAAAUUCAUCUCAUUGCUCGACAAAC